rnacentral:rRNA from 1 species
CUGCGAAUGGCUCAUUAAAUCAGUUAUAGUUUAUUUGAUGGUCUCUCGCCACAUGGAUAACCGUGGUAAUUCUAGAGCUAAUACAUGCGUCGAGUCCCGACUGUCGCGGAAGGGAUGUAUUUAUUAGAUUCAAAACCAAUGCGGGGCCUCGGUCCCGGUCUUUGGUGAUUCAUAGUAACUGUUCGGAGCGCAGGGCCUCGCGCCGGCGCCGGAUCAUUCAAGUUUCUGCCCUAUCAACUGUCGAUGGUAAGGUAUCGGCUUACCAUGGUUGCAACGGGUGACGGAGAAUUAGGGUUCGAUUCCGGAGAGGGAGCCUGAGAAACGGCUACCACAUCCAAGGAAGGCAGCAGGCGCGCAAAUUACCCAAUCCCGACACGGGGAGGUAGUGACAAUAAAUAACAAUACAGGGCCUUCGUAGGUCUUGUAAUUGGAAUGAGAACAAUCUAAAUCCCUUAACGAGGAACAAUUGGAGGGCAAGUCUGGUGCCAGCAGCCGCGGUAAUUCCAGCUCCAAUAGCGUAUAUUAAAGUUGUUGCAGUUAAAAAGCUCGUAGUUGGAUUUCGGCGGCGCGCUACCGGUCCGCCUGGCGGCGUGUCACUGGUAGCGCGCGGCUUUCUCUCGAGGGCCGCGCGUGCUCUUGACUGAGCGUGCGCGGGACUCGGGACGUUUACUUUGAAAAAAUUAGAGUGUUCAAAGCAGGCGCGUCGGCUUGGAUACAUUAGCAUGGAAUAAUGGAAUAGGACGUCGGUUCUAUUUUGUUGGUUUCUGGGACCGAGGUAAUGAUUAAUAGGGACAGUUGGGGGCAUUCGUAUUCAAUUGUCAGAGGUGAAAUUCUUGGAUUUAUGGAAGACGAACGCAUGCGAAAGCAUUUGCCAAGGAUGUUUUCGUUAAUCAAGAACGAAAGUUGGAGGUUCGAAGACGAUUAGAUACCGUCGUAGUUCCAACCAUAAACUAUGCCGACUAGGGAUCGGAGGACGUUAUUGAUACGACUCCUUCGGCACCUUUCGAGAAAUCAAAGUUUUUGGGUUCCGGGGGGAGUAUGGUCGCAAGACUGAAACUUAAAGGAAUUGACGGAAGGGCACCACCAGGAGUGGAGCCUGCGGCUUAAUUUGACUCAACACGGGAAAACUCACCAGGUCCAGACAUAGAA